GGAAGGAUCAUUAUUGAAUGAACUUGGUGUGGUUGUUGCUGGCCCUCUCGGGGGCAUGUGCACACCCACCAUCCUCAUCUCUCCACCUGUGCACCUCUUGUAGACCUGGAUAGACUUUCUGAGGCAACUCGGUCGGGAAGAUUGCUGUGCUCUGUGAGCCAGCUUUCUUUGCAUGUCCAGGCCUAUGUUUUUCAUAUACCCCUAUAGAAUGUAACAGAAUGUAUCAUUGGGCCUUGUGCCUAUAAACCUUAUACAACUUUCAGCAACGGAUCUCUUGGCUCUCGCAUCGAUGAAGAACGCAGCGAAAUGCGAUAAGUAAUGUGAAUUGCAGAAUUCAGUGAAUCAUCGAAUCUUUGAACGCACCUUGCGCUCCUUGGUAUUCCGAGGAGCAUGCCUGUUUGAGUGUCAUUAAAUUCUCAACCUUAUUAACUUUUGUUGAUAAUGGAUUGGAUGUGGGGGUUUCUUUUGCUGGCUUCUUCACAGAUAUCAGCUCCCCUUAAAUGCAUUAGCUGGUGCCCCGCGUGGACCAUCUAUUGGUGUGAUAAUUAUCUACGCCGUGGAUGUCUGCAAUCAUAUGGGUUUUGCACUGCUUCUAACCGUCUGUUCAUUCGGACAAUACAUGA
rnacentral:sRNA from 1 species